AGCGGCGGACGGGUGAGUAAAGCGUGGGUAACCUGCCCUAUACACACGGAUAACAUACCGAAAGGUAUGCUAAUACGAGAUAAUAUAAGAGAUUCACAUGGAUUUCUUAUCAAAGCUGAGGCGGUAUAGGAUGGACCCGCGUCUGAUUAGCUAGUUGGUAAGGUAACGGCUUACCAAGGCGACGAUCAGUAGCCGACCUGAGAGGGUGAUCGGCCACAUUGGAACUGAGACACGGUCCAAACUCCUACGGGAGGCAGCAGUGGGGAAUAUUGCACAAUGGGCGAAAGCCUGAUGCAGCAACGCCGCGUGAGUGAUGAAGGCCUUCGGGUCGUAAAACUCUGUCCUCAAGGAAGAUAAUGACGGUACUUGAGGAGGAAGCCCCGGCUAACUACGUGCCAGCAGCCGCGGUAAUACGUAGGGGGCUAGCGUUAUCCGGAUUUACUGGGCGUAAAGGGUGCGUAGGUGGUCUCUUAAGUCAGGAGUGAAAGGCUACGGCUUAACCGUAGUAAGCUCUUGAAACUGGGAGACUUGAGUGCAGGAGAGGAAAGUGGAAUUCCUAGUGUAGCGGUGAAAUGCGUAGAUAUUAGGAGGAACACCAGUAGCGAAGGCGGCUUUCUGGACUGUAACUGACACUGAGGCACGAAAGCGUGGGGAGCAAACAGGAUUAGAUACCCUGGUAGUCCGCGCCGUAAACGAUGAGUACUAGGUGU
rnacentral:rRNA from 1 species